rnacentral:rRNA from 1 species
AUUAUCGGAGAGUUUGAUCCUGGCUCAGGACGAACGCUGGCGGCGUGCCUAAUACAUGCAAGUCGAGCGGACAGAUGGGAGCUUGCUCCCUGAUGUUAGCGGCGGACGGGUGAGUAACACGUGGGUAACCUGCCUGUAAGACUGGGAUAACUCCGGGAAACCGGGGCUAAUACCGGAUGCUUGUUUGAAUCGCAUGGUUCAGACAUAAAAG